ACUACUAAUGCAAAUAGGGAAGUCUUUUGGGGCAAAUUUGAUCUUUUAUAAACUCAAAAGCGUCUAGGGUUUUUGCUGGGCCAAAAUUGGUGUCGAUCGACACCAAGAAUGUGUCGAUCGACACUCCUCGCUGAUUUCUGAACCAAAAUCGUCCUUAGCUUCCUUUUCCUUAGCUUUUGCUCCAAAAUGUCUCCUUAUCUCCAUUGUUGUCCCAUUGAAUUGAAUACCUGAAAAGACACUAAAAAUACUCGAGAAAUAACUUAAAGACUCAAAAUCCUAUACGUAAAACAUAGAUAAAAUUGGUGAAAAUCGGGUUAUAUCAACUCCCCCAGACUUAGCUUUUGCUUGCCCUCAAGCAAAACACAAAAGCCGAACCCGUGGAAGAGGUUUUGAAAACAAAGGAACUCCCAACAUUCUCUAGCCUAUUACCAUGAUCAUUCAAACUAAGUCCAUAUGCCUAACAAGUCUAAUCAAAUCCUAACCAACAUGUACUUCUCUGCAAGCUUACACAACAUUCUAGAUUCCAUACCUAAGUUCCACAACUAUAUCCACCAGGCUUUCAUCGCUGGGUCUCAUCAAACAAGCCACCAUUCAAGAUCCUUCUAGACUCAUUCAUGUACUAUACCAUGAUAAAUUAACCAUUCUUUAUAUAUUUUUUUCUUUUUCAGUGUUCUUUCUCUCCCCCUGACU
rnacentral:sRNA from 1 species